CAAAUUAAAACUAAGAAUAGUAUUUUAUUUACACUAAAAUUUUUAAUUGUUAAAUCAAUUUAAUUUGA
rnacentral:tRNA from 1 species